rnacentral:lncRNA from 11 species
CAUUCACCCAGAAUGCAGAUUUUUUUUGGAACUCGAAAAAGACGAAAUAAGGUGCAUGGAGCUCUUAAGGAAUGCCAAAACAGUGGGAUUUAAAGGAUUACAGCCAUAUGAAGAACGUCUUACAGAGGAUGCAGUUUGAAGAUAGGACUUGGGGUAUAGCUCCCAGAAUCCCCAUAGCCAAUCACCAGAACAUUAAUCCAAAAAGAUAACUUUCCCAAUCUCUCUGUUGGGACUUUAGCUUAAUAUCGUUUUCCUCGUGGUAUUUUUCCUUUGUUUUGUGAAUUGGCAAGAAUCUGGAAAUUGUGAUUUCAAAAAGAUGAUGAUGAUGAUGAUGAUAUAAUUAUUUAUUUAUAUCCUGCUUUUCUCCCUAAAUGGGACCCAAAGCCGCUCACAACAUUCAUUAUAUAAAAGGCAAUACAAAACAAUAAACAUAUGUAAAAACAAUAGCUUAUAAAAACAAAUUUACAAUAAUAAGUACACACAUUUAAAAAUAUUAGUCCAAUACAGUUAUUGCAAGCAACUCAACAAGAUAGAUGGGGAUCUAUCUAACUUUCCCAACUUGGGACUUUAGUUGAAAAUUGGUUUCCCUUUGCUUCAGGGAUGAGUAAUUUGCAACCAUGGUAUGUAUAUGAUCCAUAGGCUUCUGCAAAAUCCAUCUGAUUCCCCCCAUCCCAGAUUAUUUUGAAUUCCCCAAAAUUAUAGUCACAGAAACCUCUAGGCUACAAUAUGUCCUGUAGGUUCAGUGUCUGCAUCUCCAGAGCUUUGGAGUCAAAGAGACCUCUCUUUUAGAAACCAUAAGUGGUUGUCUAGUUUGAAAAUGGUUUGGAAAAGAUUAUCUUAACAAUAGAAGAAAAAGAUCAUAG